rnacentral:rRNA from 1 species
UACAGAGGUCUCAAGCGUUGUUCGGAUUCAUUGGGCGUAAAGGGUGCGUAGGCGUCGCGGUAAGUCGGGUGUGAAAUCUCGGGGCUUAACUCCGAAACUGCAUUCGAUACUGCCGUGCUUGAGGACUGGAAAGGAGACUGGAAUUUACGGUGUAGCGGUGAAAUGCGUAGAUAUCGUAAGGAAGACCAGUGGCGAAGGCGGGUCUCUGGACAGUUCCUGACGCUGAGGCACGAAGGUCAGGGGAGCAAACGGG